rnacentral:rRNA from 1 species
CUGGCGGUGUGGUUAGACAUGCAAGUCGAACGAGAAGCUCCCUUCGGGUGAGUGGAGAGUGGCGCACGGGUGAGUAACACGUGAGCAACCUGCCGGGAAGCCCGGGAUAGCCCUCCGAAAGGAGGAUUAAUACCGGAUGUGGCCACCCUGCGAUUGCAGGGGAAGCUAAAGGAUUUAUUCACUUCCCGAGGGGCUCGCGGCCCAUCAGCUUGUUGGUGAGGGUAACGGCCCACCAAUGCGACAACGGGUAGCUGGUCUGAGAGGAUGGUCAGCCACACUGGAACUGAGACACGGUCCAGACACCUACGGGUGGCAGCAGUCGAGAAUCAUUCGCAAUGGGGGAAACCCUGACGAUGCGACGCCGCGUGGAGGAUGAAGGCCUUAGGGUUGUAAACUCCUGUCAAGAGGGAAUAAGCAAGUGAAGGUACCUCUAGAGGAAGGGGCGGCUAAUUCCGUGCCAGCAGCCGCGGUAACACGGAAGCCCCGAGCGUUGUUCGGAUUCAUUGGGCGUAAAGGGUGCGUAUGCGGCGCGGAAAGUCCGGCGUGAAAGGCAGAGGCUCAACCUCUGGACUGCGUUGGAUACUUCCGUGCUUGAGGACUGGAGGGGAGACUGGAAUUCACGGUGUAGCAGUGAAAUGCGUAGAUAUCGUGAGGAAGACCGGUGGCGAAGGCGAGUCUCUGGACAGAUCCUGACGCUGAGGCACGAAGGCUGGGGGAGCGAACAGGAUUAGAUACCCUGGUAGUCCCAGCAGUAAACGAUGUGAGCUUGAUGUGGGGGGAUUCGACCCCUUCCGUGUCGAAGCUAACGCGAUAAGCUCACCGCCUGAGGAGUACGGCCGCAAGGCUAAAACUCAAAGAAAUUGACGGGGACCCGCACAAGCGGUGGAGUAUGUGGCUUAAUUCGAUGCAACGCGAAGAACCUUACCUGGCCUUGACAUGCAUUGUGUCGUCGGUGAAAGCCGGCUAGUCCUGGAAACAGGACGCUUUGCACAGGUGCUGCAUGGCUGUCGUCAGCUCGUGUCGUGAGAUGUUGGGUUAAGUCCCGCAACGAGCGCAACCACUUGUGGUCAGUUACUAACCGGCUUAGCCGGAGGACUCUGGCCAGACUGCCCUGUCAAACGGGGAGGAAGGUGGGGACGACGUCAAGUCAGUAUGGC